UACGUAGGGGGCAAGCGUUGUCCGGAUUUAUUGGGCGUAAAGAGCGUGUAGGCGGCCGAAUAAGUCUGACGUGAAAUCUGGAGGCUCAACCUCCAGCUGUCGUUGGAAACUAUUCGGCUAGAGUCCGGAAGAGGAGAGUGGAAUUCCCGGUGUAGCGGUGAAAUGCGCAGAUAUCGGGAAGAACACCAGUGGCGAAGGCGACUUCCUGGCCUGUUCUUGACGCUGAGGCGCGAAAGCUAGGGGAGCAAACGGG
rnacentral:rRNA from 1 species